UGGCUCAGAGGUUAAGAGCACUGGCUGCUCUUCCAGAGAACCUGGGUUCAAUUCCCAG
rnacentral:tRNA from 1 species